AGUGAACGCUGGCGGUAGGCCUAACACAUGCAAGUCGAACGGCAGCACAGUAAGCGCUUGCUCUUACGGGUGGCGAGUGGCGGACGGGUGAGGAAUACAUCGGAAUCUACUUUUUCGUGGGGGAUAACGUAGGGAAACUUACGCUAAUACCGCAUACGACCUACGGGUGAAAGCAGGGGAUCUUCGGACCUUGCGCGAUUGAAUGAGCCGAUGUCGGAUUAGCUAGUUGGCGGGGUAAAGGCCCACCAAGGCGACGAUCCGUAGCUGGUCUGAGAGGAUGAUCAGCCACACUGGAACUGAGACACGGUCCAGACUCCUACGGGAGGCAGCAGUGGGGAAUAUUGGGCAAUGGGCGCAAGCCAGAUCCAGCCAUACCGCGUGAGUGAAGAAGGCCUUCGGGUUGUAAAGCCCUUUUGUUGGGAAAGAAAAGCAGCAGGUUAAUACCCCGCUGUUCUGACGGUACCCAAAGAAUAAGCACCGGCUAACUUCGUG
rnacentral:rRNA from 1 species